rnacentral:rRNA from 1 species
GCCAGUGGCGUAAGGGUGAGUAAUGGGACGGCAACCAACCCCAGGGUCGGGCAUAGCCGAGGGAAACCUCGGGUAAUUCCCGGCGACGUGAAAUAUAGGCAUCUAUGUUUCACCACAGGUGCGAUUCCGCCCUGGGACGGGCCGUCUUGGUAUUAGCUUGUUGGCGGGGUAAUGGCCCACCAAGGCUACGAUGCCUACCGGGCGUGCGAGCGUGGCCCGGCACACUGGGACUGAGACACUGCCCAGACUCCUACGGGAGGCUGCAGUCGAGAAUCUUCGGCAAUGGGCGCAAGCCUGACCGAGCGACGCCGCGUGGAGGACGAAGGCCUUCGGGUUGUAAACUCCUGUCGAGGGGGAGGAAGGACGUGUGCAGAGCACGACUUGACCGAUCCCUGGAGGAAGCACGGGCUAAGUUCGUGCCAGCAGCCGCGGUAAGACGAACCGUGCGAACGUUAUUCGGAAUCACUGGGCUUAAAGCGCGUGUAGGCGG